UCGGAUUGCAGGCUGCAACCCGCCUGCAUGAAGUUGGAAUCGCUAGUAAUCGCGGAUCAGCAUGCCGCGGUGAAUACGUUCCCGGGCCUUGUACACACCGCCCGUCACACCAUGAGAGUCGGGAACACCCGAAGUCCGUAGCCUGACCGCAAGGGGGGCGCGGCCGAAGGUGGGUUCGAUAAUUGGGGUGAAGUCGUAACAAGGUAGC
rnacentral:rRNA from 1 species